UACGUAGGGGGCAAGCGUUGUCCGGAUUUAUUGGGCGUAAAGAGCGUGUAGGCGGCCAUACAGGUCAGCUGUGAAAACUCGAGGCUCAACCUCGAGACGUCGGUUGAAACCGUAUGGCUAGAGUCCGGAAGAGGCGAGUGGAAUUCCUGGUGUAGCGGUGAAAUGCGCAGAUAUCAGGAGGAACACCAAUGGCGAAGGCAGCUCGCUGGAACGGAACUGACGCUGAGGCGCGAAAGCGUGGGGAGCGAACAGG
rnacentral:rRNA from 1 species